GAUGAACGCUGGCGGCGUGCCUAAUACAUGCAAGUCGAGCGAACGGACGAGAAGCUUGCUUCUCUGAUGUUAGCGGCGGACGGGUGAGUAACACGUGGAUAACCUACCUAUAAGACUGGGAUAACUUCGGGAAACCGGAGCUAAUACCGGAUAAUAUUUUGAACCGCAUGGUUCAAAAGUGAAAGACAGUCUUGCUGUCACUUAUAGAUGGAUCCGCGCUGCAUUAGCUAGUUGGUAAGGUAACGGCUUACCAAGGCAACGAUGCAUAGCCGACCUGAGAGGGUGAUCGGCCACACUGGAACUGAGACACGGUCCAGACUCCUACGGGAGGCAGCAGUAGGGAAUCUUCCGCAAUGGGCGAAAGCCUGACGGAGCAACGCCGCGUGAGUGAUGAAGGUCUUCGGAUCGUAAAACUCUGUUAUUAGGGAAGAACAUAUGUGUAAGUAACUGUGCACAUCUUGACGGUACCUAAUCAGAAAGCCACGGCUAACUACGU
rnacentral:rRNA from 1 species